CAAAGGAGCAAUCCGCUGAAAGAUGGGCUCGCGUCCGAUUAGGUAGUUGGCGGGGCAACGGCCCACCAAGCCGACGAUCGGUAGCCGGACUGAGAGGUUGAACGGCCACAUUGGGACUGAGACACGGCCCAGACUCCUACGGGAGGCAGCAGUGAGGGAUAUUGGUCAAUGGGGGAAACCCUGAACCAGCAACGCCGCGUGAGGGAAGACGGUUUUCGGAUUGUAAACCUCUGUCCUCUGUGAAGAUGAUGACGGUAGCAGAGGAGGAAGCUCCGGCUAACUACGUGCCAGCAGCCGCGGUAAUACGUAGGGAGCAAGCGUUGUCCGGAUUUACUGGGUGUAAAGGGUGCGUAGGCGGCUUUGCAAGUCAGAAGUGAAAUCCAUGGGCUUAACCCAUGAACUGCUUUUGAAACUGCAGAGCUUGAGUGGAGUAGAGGUAGGCGGAAUUCCCGGUGUAGCGGUGAAAUGCGUAGAGAUCGGGAGGAACACCAGUGGCGAAGGCGGCCUGCUGGGCUCUAACUGACGCUGAGGCACGAAAGCGUGGGUAGCAAACAGGAUUAGAUACCCUGGUAGUCCACGCUGUAA
rnacentral:rRNA from 1 species